rnacentral:piRNA from 1 species
UGAGUGCCUUUGGCUCCUUGUCCAGAC